ensembl:lncRNA
GGAGAAGAGGCAGUAGAGGAGAAGAGGCAGUAGUGGAGAAGAGGCAGUAGUGGAGAAGAGGAGAAGAUGCAGUAGUGAAGAAGAGGAGAAGAGGCAGUAGAGGAGAAGAGGAGGAGGCAGUAGUGGAGAAGAGGAGAAGAGGCAGUAGUGGAGAAGAGGAGAAGAGACAGUAGUGGAGAAGAGGAGAAGAUGCAGUAGUGAAGAAGAGGAGAAGAGGCAGUAGAGGAGAAGAGGAGAAGAGGCAGUAGAGGAGAAGAGGCAGUAGUGGAGAAGAAGAAAAGAGUCAGAAGUGGAGAAGAGGAGAAGAGGCAGUAGAGGAGAAGAGGCAGUAGAGGAGAAGAGGAGGAGGCAGUAGUGGAGAAGAGGAGAAGAGGCAGUAGAGGAGAAGAGGAGAAGAGGCAGUAGUGGAGAAGAGGAGAAGAGGCAGUAGUGGAGAAGAGGAGAAGAUGCAGUAGUGAAGAAGAGGAGAAGAGGCAGUAGAGGAGAAGAGGAGAAGAGGCAGUAGAGGAGAAGAGGCAGUAGAGGAGAAGAGGAGAAGAGGCAGUAGUGGAGAAGAGGAGAAGAGGCAGUAGUGGAGAAGAAGAGAAGAGUCAGUAGUGGAGAAGAGGAGAAGAGGCAGUAGAGGAGAAGAGGCAGUAGUGGAGAAGAGGCAGUAGUGGAGAAGAGGAGAAGAUGCAGUAGUGAAGAAGAGGAGAAGAGGCAGUAGAGGAGAAGAGGAGGAGGCAGUAGUGGAGAAGAGGAGAAGAUGCAGUAGUGAAGAAGAGGAGAAGAGGCAGUAGAGGAGAAGAGGAGAAGGCAGUAGUGGAGAAGAGGAGAAGAGGCAGUAGAGGAGAAGAGGAGAAGAGGCAGUAGAGGAGAAGAGGAGAAGAGGCAGUAGUGGAGAAGAGGCAGUAGAGGAGAAGAGGAGAAGAGGCAGUAGUGGAGAAGGGGAGAAGAGGCAGUAGUGGAGGAGAAGAUGCAGUAGAGGAGAAGAGGAGAAGAGGCAGUAGUGGAGAAGAGGAGAAGAGGCAGUAGUGGAGAAGAGGCAGUAGAGGAGAAAAGGAGAAGAUGCAGUAGAGGAGAAGAGGAGAAGAGGCAGUAGAGGAGAAGAGGAGAAGAGGCAGUAGUGGAGAAGAGGAGAAGAGGCAGUAGUGGAGAAGAGGAGAAGAGGCAGUAGUGGAGAAGAGGAGAAGAGGCAGUAGAGGAGAAGAGGCAUUACUUUCACUAAAGACAAUUAUUUGCGUUUCCAAGACUACAUUACAGUUGAAUAUGUGCUACAUAACCCACAACAUAUUGUAAUGUAUUAACACAUGAAUCUGAUAAUCUGUGUUGCAUCUGAAUUAUGUUCAGGGCAGAGGAAAACAUACUGAAGCACUCAGCCAGAUCUCAACAAAAUCAGGCCACAAAGUGACUUUUGUGCUUCUAAACUUGUCUUUUCAAUGUGAUUUUCAUAUUCUGAUAGCAGAAGUCGCAUGUAAGUGUCAAGUGUAGACAUGACCUAAGUAGCCCAGAGAGCUUUUGUCAUGUAGGACAGUGUUCUCCAACUGGCGGCUGAAUUUGGGCCGUGUACUGUUUUAUUUUAAAAUCUCUGAAUAUUAUGUUGUUGAACAGAAAUGUAUAAACUGUAAGAUCACCAGGCAAUCAGCUCCAAGUGAUUUUCAUUUAGGAAAUCUGUUCCCAAGUAUUCUCAUGCGUAAUAGAGAGACAUGUGUCUGUGUGUGUCUGUGUGUCUGUGUGUCUGUGUGUGUGUG